rnacentral:lncRNA from 10 species
GGCUGUGGCCAAGUGAUUGUUGCUGAACUUACCUGUGUCGAAAGGUCAGCCUUCCAGUGCUAAGGCUGGGCACAGGCGCUAAGGCAAAUUGGAUUGUGAAUGGAGGCCCUGAGGCAUGUUCUGCACUUUGCAACUGGUCUGGCAGGCUCCACUCCUCCACCUUCUAAGUCUGCCACAGGCAUGGGAAACACCUGGGCAGCGACAAAGGUGGUUAAGGCAGCUUCGCCAAGAAGAGGAGCCAAGAUGGUUAACUAGACGUAGCCAGGAGGAACAUCUCCCACCAAGAGACUGAGCUGUCAGGAAGACUGGUACAUUCUGAGCAGAUCUUUGGAGGGAAGGCAUUGAGAGUGGAUGGAAGGAUGAUGCAGACACUGGGCUGAAGAGGAAGGAAGCUGGGAACCCUGUACAGGACUACCGAGCACCAGGACUUGUUUCUGGCCCCCUGCAACUCCUGGGAAAGGGAGAACUCCUCCAGUGCUCUCAAGUGUUUUACAGACCACUAAUUAUUAAAUGUGGAAGCUCUGGAGCAGAGAACCUUUCAACUGAAAUGAUGACAAACGAUGCUGGCUGAGGAGAGUCAGACCUGAAAAGUUAGGAAUCCCUAAAAUGACGUCAACCUAUAAUUCCUAUUACAGAGCUCUGAUUUCUACUGAUCGUUUUAGGAACCAUAUCUACUAUGUGAGAAAAGCUGCUGGUGGGCCUAAUUUAGAUGAAAAGCAGAAAGGCCUUAAAAAAGAAAUGGGAAAGGAAUAUACAGAAGCAAGAAGAUGAUUGAAAAAAGAUGGCAAUUCAUGUACUUGUUGAACACCAGUUCUGAGCUGCAGAGCAGGAGGCACAAGACGUAAACAAAAAAGUCUCUGUUACGGUCCUAAAGAAGCCAAUCAUCUAGAGAAAUGUAUGCACAGCAGGUCCAGCAGAAUGGGCUUUGCGCUGAUGAGGGAAGCAAGAGGAGAGCAUGGCCUGGGAAAGGAGAUGAUCAGGCUCACUUCCCAUUUCUCUGUGGAAGAACCGUGGCAAACACAGAGUCAACUCACAACGUUCAUUGGAAUUUUUCCCACUUGACUCCUUCGCAAGUUGGAAUAAGGAGUUUGGAAAGGGAGGAUUUCUUCAUAUAAAAAUGGUCUGGGUAUAUCCACGCAAAACUAAAGGGAGUGGAAGAGACCCUAGGUCUACACAUUUGAUGGGAUAGAUCCUUCGGGCUCAGCCUCACCUGCAGGUACUGAAGGAAGCCUUAGUCUGCUAUACAGAGCACUCUGCACCAUGGGGAGAAGAUCAAUAUGCUAAACUUGGGUACUGGGCCUAAAUCUUACGAAGUGACCUCAAACCUAGGAAGGGUAGUUUCAUCAGAAAAGAUCCUACAACCUUCUAUCUGAAGAGCAUGAAUAGCUGCUGCUUUUUUGGAGUUGGGGCCUUUCAUUCACCAUGAAGAUACUGCAUUGUGGCACAGUCCUUGAAGAGACAAGUAGAGACAGGGUUUCACCGUGGUGACAGGCUGGUCUCGAACUCCUGACCUCAAGUGAUCCGUCUGCCUCAGCAUCCCAAAGUGCUGGGAUUACAGGCACAUUGAAGAAUCAGAAGAUGUUUUCCCCCUGUGUUUUUGAUGGAAGGAAGAAAGCAGGAUUUGCCAGGAUGCAUUCUGCAUCCAAGAACAUGAACGGAAAUGAGCCACAGAAAAUCUGGAGUGAUGGCAGCUGUUGUGAGAGGUGGCAAUGAAAUGGAUUUCUCAGACACAGAGAUGUGGUCUCCCACCAGGUCCCAUUUCAGUGUAUGGUUUCUUGGAUUUCUCUGCCAGCUUCAAACAGUGCUUCUGAUAAAGUGAUUUAUGAAGUAAUGGGAAAUGUAUGUUGACUCAUGGAGUAACAAUGAGGAAAUAGGCAUUGGCACCAGGACUCUGUUGACAUCAGGACUUCAGUGAGGGGGAAAUUCUGCAGAGAUGUGCAUAAACUCAUCGCAGCUGCUCUACCAUCUGACAACCUGAUGGUCAUGGGGGACCUCAAUGCACGUGUUGGUGGUAGUGCCAAAAUGUGGAAGAAAAUUAUUGGACCACAGAGGAUUAGUCUCUUCCUGCAUGGUGAACAGACCGAGCAAUAACUUGUAAUCACAGACAACAGCGUCAAUCAUAUAAGUUAGGAGAAAAAUAUCAUGGAUAUGCCACAAAUCAAAAACAGUGACAUCACACCCAUUCUGCCAUUGUUUCACAGCAGAAUGCCAACAAGCUGACAAUCUGAAUGGGUCUGAGAUCGUUACCCAAUAUGCUUCAAAUCAGGAGAACAUACGGCAACACUCAUUGACUUACAUAUUCUGGGUAAGACACAGAGCAAAGAACUGCAACAGAGGUUAAAGUUUCAGAAAGAGAAGAAGCAGCCUUCACUAUAUCAGACAGAUGAAUCCAGCUCCAAUCAAUAAUUGAGUUUUGGAUUGGAGGAAAGAAUAUUUGGACAUUAAAGAAAAUAAGCAGAGAGUGCCUAAUCUCUUCAAUUCUCAAGAUCAUGCUUAACAUGACCACAUUAAUUACAGCAGAGUGAGACAGGCACAGAAGAGGAGGGACUUGGAACCUGACCUAAAUACAGAAGUGUCAAGCCUAGAAGGAAGUAAAAUUUGGAAGAAAGUACAUGGCAUAUGAAAGAAAAAUAACAACCCAACAACAUCUGACAUUAUGGAAUACUUAAAUAAAAAUAAAAUUUUAGAUUCA